ACAGCCUCAGUGUUCACAGUAAAACUGUAACUUAACGUGGGUACAGCCUCAGUGUUCACAGUAAAACUGUAACUUAAAGCAGGUACAGCCUCAGUGUUCACAGUAAAACUGUAACUUAAAGCAGGUACAGCCUCAGUGUUCACAGUAAAACUGUAACUUAAAGCGGGUACAGCCUCAGUGUUCACAGUAAAACUGUAACUUAGUGGGUACAGCCUCAGUGUUCACAGUAAAACUGUAACUUAAAGCAGGUACAGCCUCAGUGUUCACAGUAAAACUGUAACUUAAAGUGGGUACAGCCUCAGUGUUCACAGUAAAACUGUAACUUAAAGUGGGUACAGCCUCAGUGUUCACAGUAAAACUGUAACUUAAAGCAGGUACAGCCUCAGUGUUCACAGUAAAACUGUAACUUAAAGCAGGUACAGCCUCAGUGUUCACAGUAAAACUGUAACUUAAAGCAGGUACAGCCUCAGUGUUCACAGUAAAACUGUAACUUAAAGUGGGUACAGCCUCAGUGUUCACAGUAAAACUGUAACUUAGUGGGUACAGCCUCAGUGUUCACAGUAAAACUGUAACUUAAAGCAGGUACAGCCUCAGUGUUCACAGUAAAACUGUAACUUAGUGGGUACAGCCUCAGUGUUCACAGUAAAACUGUAACUUAAAGCGGGUACAGCCUCAGUGUUCACAGUAAAACUGUAACUUAAAGCAGGUACAGCCUCAGUGUUCACAGUAAAACUGUAACUUAAAGCAGGUACAGCCUCAGUGUUCACAGUAAAACUGUAACUUAAAGUGGGUACAGCCUCAGUGUUCACAGUAAAACUGUAACUUAAAGCAGGUACAGCCUCAGUGUUCACAGUAAAACUGUAACUUAAAGUGGGUACAGCCUCAGUGUUCACAGUAAAACUGUAACUUAAAGCAGGUACAGCCUCAGUGUUCACAGUAAAACUGUAACUUAAAGUGGGUACAGCCUCAGUGUUCACAGUAAAACUGUAACUUAAAGCAGGUACAGCCUCAGUGUUCACAGUAAAACUGUAACUUAAAGUGGGUACAGCCUCAGUGUUCACAGUAAAACUGUAACUUAAAGCAGGUACAGCCUCAGUGUUCACAGUAAAACUGUAACUUAAAGCAGGUACAGCCUCAGUGUUCAUAGUAAAACUGUAACUUAAAGCAGGUACAGCCUCAGUGUUCACAGUAAAACUGUAACUUAAAGCAGGUACAGCCUCAGUGUUCACAGUAAAACUGUAACUUAAAGCAGGUACAGCCUCAGUGUUCACAGUAAACCUGUAACUUAAAGCAGGUACAGCCUCAGUGUUCACAGUAAAACUGUAACUUAGUGGGUACAGCCUCAGUGUUCACAGUAAAACUGUAACUUAGUGGGUACAGCCUCAGUGUUCACAGUAAAACUGUAACUUAGUGGGUACAGCCUCAGUGUUCACAGUAAAACUGUAACUUAAAGCAGGUACAGCCUCAGUGUUCACAGUAAAACUGUAACUUAAAGCAGGUACAGCCUCAGUGUUCACAGUAAAACUGUAACUUAGUGGGUACAGCCUCAGUGUUCACAGUAAAACUGUAACUGAAAGCAGGUACAGCCUCAGUGUUCACAGUAAAACUGUAACUUAGUGGGUACAGCCUCAGUGUUCACAGUAAAACUGUAACUUAAAGCAGGUACAGCCUCAGUGUUCACAGUAAAACUGUAACUUAAAGCAGGUACAGCCUCAGUGUUCACAGUAAAACUGUAACUUAAAGCAGGUACAGCCUCAGUGUUCACAGUAAAACUGUAACUUAAAGCAGGUACAGCCUCAGUGUUCACAGUAAAACUGUAACUUAGUGGGUACAGCCUCAGUGUUCACAGUAAAACUGUAACUUAGUGGGUACAGCCUCAGUGUUCACAGUAAAACUGUAACUUAAAGCAGGUACAGCCUCAGUGUUCACAGUAAACCUGUAACUUAAAGCAGGUACAGCCUCAGUGUUCACAGUAAACCUGUAACUUAAAGCAGGUACAGCCUCAGUGUUCACAGUAAAACUGUAACUUAAAGCAGGUACAGCCUCAGUGUUCACAGUAAAACUGUAACUUAAAGCAGGUACAGCCUCAGUGUUCACAGUAAAACUGUAACUUAGUGGGUACAGCCUCAGUGUUCACAGUAAAACUGUAACUUAGUGGGUACAGCCUCAGUGUUCACAGUAAAACUGUAACUUAAAGCAGGUACAGCCUCAGUGUUCACAGUAAAACUGUAACUUAAAGCAGGUACAGCCUCAGUGUUCACAGUAAAGCAGGUACAGCCUCAGUGUUCACAGUAAAGCAGGUACAGCCUCAGUGUUCACAGUAAAGCAGGUACAGCCUCCGUGUUCACAGUAAACGCACGCUGGAAG